UACUAAACAAAAUAGCUUAUAGGACCACCUACGAAUAAUCUUCCUCACCCCGAAACUCAGAUUGACUAAAUAUAUAAAUUUGGGUAUCUAUAAAGAAAUCACAGAAGAAAGAAAAACGUCGGGAAAACAAACAGUUGGUGGGAAGCUGCUACGAACCUCAAAUUUACAGCAGCCAAACAAAGUCGGAGCUUUGUCUCCAUUUUUCCACAGAACCGUAUUAACAAGUUACAGAAACCAAUCUUUGACAUGGUCAUGAGGCAAGCGGGGGUGUUUCGAAAAUUCAGAAAGCUUUAUAAUCAAUCUCCAGGUCAACAGUCAAGAAUCAUGUUAGUCAAUAAUGUUGAAAAGACAAAAAGAUCAAGGCUUUUUUAGCUCAUAACAACCCAACUUCAAUUUGAAAGAUAAAGUUUUGUUAUUGCUGUCACAUAUUAUGUGUUAGACAAUCACAAUUUGUCUGAAAAAUAACAAGGGAAGUGGAGUUGAACCCAAAAAACCACGUUUUUCUUUACCUUUUAAUAAUAGCAUAAGAUAUUUGAACACAUACAAAACAUAUGUAUCAAAUCUAAUAAUAGCAUAGGCUAGCAUUGGAUCAGGACAUUAAAGGGAUGUUAUACUACUAACACCCGUCUUAUAAUGUUUUUUUGGCGCAUUUUAGCAAAAUAUCCCAUGAAAGGAAAACCUUCAUUCACUAUACCAAAAGGAAAACUUCAGAAUGGCCAAAAGUCAGUAGAUGCAAAAAUUUGCAAUUUCUUAUCGUCCUUGAAGAAGUGUUAUGGUAUCUUCAUUUGCAGAGCAAAUAUUGUCAAACUGUGGUUGUGGAUCAGAGACUGAGCUUUGGGAAGUAAAAAUAGGCCGCUUAGGUUGUGGGCGAUCUGUCUCCCUACUCAGCAUGAAAACUACAUCUGGCAUGGUUGGCCUAUCUGCAGCAUUGUCCUGUACACAAAGAAGCCCAAUGUGCACACAUCUCAUCACUUCUGUUGACGAAUAUGAAUCUGCCAAAACUUCAUCAACCAAGUCCAAUCCCCUGCCUUCAUUCCAUGAGUGCCAUGCCUGAAAAAGUUUCAUAUAUGUUGGCUACAAUUGUUAGACUCUGUUGUAUUUAGCUUCAUAUAGAUUGUUUGACAAUUUAUAAGAGUUUAGAGUGUGAACUUACAUAAUCUAUGAAGCCUAGCUGUUGGUCAUGGUAAUAGAAGCUGGUAUUUUUCCUGCCACCAACAAUCUCCAACAGCAAGACUCCAAAGCUAUAUAUAUCGGAUUUUUCAGAAAAUAUCCCGCGCAUGGCAUACUCCGGAGACAUAUAGCCACUGUACAGGAAAUUCAUUAUCCACUAACUUAUUAUUAUUCCUGAUAACAUGCUAAAAAGCAUUGGAAAUUUAGUUGGUUAAUAACAAUUCUGAUAAUAGGGAAGAAAUGAUUCUUACAGAGUUCCCACAACCUUCUGAGUGUUUGCUAGAUUCUGUGUCCCUUCAAAGAUACGUGCCAGUCCAAAAUCCGAAAUUUUUGGGCUCAUCUUCUCAUCCAACAGAAUAUUACUUACCUUCAAAUCUCUAUGUAUUACCUUCAAACAUGAAUCAUAGUGGAGAUAAAGAAGUCCUCUAGCAACACCUUGAAUAAUAUUGAAGCGUUUAGCCCAAUCAAGCUCUGCUCUUCUCAUUGGACCUAAUCAAUUCACCCAUUUGAAAUGAAAUCAGUAGUGUCAUUCAUAUAUUUGGUGCAUAGUUCAAUGAAAACAAUGAUUUAAUUGCUAUAAAAUAGAGACACAGUUGUAAGAACACUAGUAAGCAGCGCUUAAACAGGUAGGUGUGAUAUACUGAAGAGCUAAACUGUACUCAAAGAUUGUGCAUAUCAGUUAAUAGUUCCCCUGAGCUCCACAUUCUAGGAAAAGCUCAUAGAUUACCAGUGAUAUUGAAGAAAGAUAUGUAACAAUGGGAAAUUGCAGCCUAACAUAAAGGGCCAGUGAAACUUACUGAACAAAAGAGUAUCCAAGCUUUUGUUUGGCAUGAACUCAUAAAUUAGUAGCUUCUCAUCAUCUUUAAUGCAGCAACCCAUGAGCCUUACAAGAUUCUUAUGUUGGAGUUUGGAGAUCAACAGCAUCUCAUUCUUGAACUCUUCUAUGCCUUGUACUGAGCUACUAGAUAGUCUUUUUACUGCUAUUUCCUUCCCUUCUUGUAGCUUACCCUACACAAGGUCCACAAAUUAAUCAUUGCAUUCAUGUCUGUAUCAUUAUAUAUAUCCUUCGAAAAGAAAAAAAAGAAAGAAAGAAUAAUCACCCUAUAUACAGGCCCGAAUCCUCCUUCUCCGAGUUUGUUUGUGAUGCUGAAAUUGCUCGUAGCAAUUAAUAUGGUAUCAAAAUCAUAGAUUACUAGCUCUGAUGGAUCAUGUUUUCUUAUAUAUUCAUGAAGAAGAGCGUCUCUUGAAGUCUCAAUCAUAUCAGCCAUUUCAGAGUCCUUAGGUGUUACUUUGACGUUUCCUGAUUUGCAAAUAUAGCAACCAAACUCGAAGUCAGAGAAAAACAAAAAAGCAGUAAAUAUGCUCUUAUAAUGUAAUGCAUUGAAGUUAUAUUGUUUUGAUUAAUACUUCAAACAGAGGAAGGGUGAGAUCAUGGGCUAAUGCAUUAAUUGCAUCCCUCCACCUCAUUCUCUUACUCUUUUGGUUAGAUCGCAAUCUGUGCAAGCUAAACACUAUGCCAGCCAAGAUACUGAUAAAACAAACAGCUAUGAGGCUGACCAUUAUCUUUAUUUGCUUUCUUUCACCUGAAAAAAUGAAUUUGUGUCACAUAAAGUAGGUGACAGAGAAAAGAAAAGAUACUGCUAAUUAGAGUUGUGCAAGCAAUAUUAUCACUUACCUAAUUCUGCAUGUGCUAGGCGAAUAAAAAGAUCGUCUCCACCAGAGGCAAACUCUUGAAUAUCAAUAAGGUCUUUGGACCAGACCAAACACCCUAUAUUGUUAAUAUGUGUAUAAGCCAGGCAAGAACAAUUACCUACGCACUGUACCUUGCAGUCUUCAGCACCCAAAUUCGAAAUAUACUCAUGAAAAUCUGGUAGGUUUACCUUUGACAUUUUCAAAAACCCAUCUUGUUUUCCUCUCAGAGGAACUGAGUUACUUGUGUUACUCCCACAAAACAAUUUGGUUUUCCUCACACACCCCCCUGCCUUGUUUCCUUUGCUCCAUUCCUCUUGUGACUUGGGUUUAAACCCUUUCAAACACUUGCAGAUUGGAGACUCGGAAGCUUUGCAAACCCCAAAAGGUCCACAUAUUCCAUAAUGGUCACAUGGAUUCUUUGGGGCCUCAAAGUCAAGAUUCCAGUUCUCACCAUGUUCGGAAUACAUAAGCUUUAGUGUACCUUUAUAAGAGAUUUCCAUAUAUGCCAGAAUUCUGUUCAAGAAAAAAGAGAAAUACUUUGUUCCCUGCUGCACAUUAUCAUCUAGAUUUAAUCCACUUACAUAUUCAUCCUUCAUUCCUGGUAUGCCGAGGAACUUUGUUUUGUCCCAUGGCCCACUUCUCCAGUAGGGAGUUGAUCCAUUAAUCCAAAUGAACAUUUGUGUUGGGAUCUGUGGUGCCAAUCCAACCGAGAACAACCCGGUUGAUCCAUCACUCUCACUUUUCCAGGCAGUCAAGACAUCCCUCUUUCCAGAUUUGUUAUCGAAUCCCAGCAACAUCAUUGGUAGAAGUGUGUCACCAGGAAAAUCAAAGCUCCUCCAUAAUUGAGCUCCUAUAUCAUCUUGGACAACAAAGUUUCCACUGUCUAAAAGAAGUGCAGCUGAACCAUUAGAUGGCACUGAAAUACUGGUUGACCAAAUACAACUCUGUUUCCCAUCUACAAGCUCCAGGUUCCCAUUGCUGUUAAUUGUCAAACUAGCCAAUGUGUCUGUAACUGAAAGAGCCUUUUCUCUGUUGGCCACCCAAACAACUUUGCGGGGAAAUAUAGUCUUGUGCCAUAUCCCCACAUACUUGUUAGAAGAAUUAUUAGGACUGAAGAAGCCCAAUUCGAAAAUGUGGCCUGGAGAGACAAGAGUUUGUCCCUCUGCUAAUGGUUGUGAAGAAGUUAUGUUAUAAACUUCUGCACAAUAAUGCUGUGACAGAAACCAAUUGAAAAAGAAUAGGAUGAAGAUGGAGGGAUUAAAAGCAUGAAAAGUUUCAGUUCUCUUACCCAUUUCAAGCUUGUUAAUCUCCUUGCCCAACACGGGGUAUCUAAAGCGUUACUAUCUGGUUGGGGCCUGCCUUACUGACGUACCCAUUACUAUUAAAUUAUUAAUCCUUGGGCGAUUGACCAGCAAAAAGAAAAACUAGUCAUGCGCAGUAAGCUACUUAAUUCUAAAAAAAAUUGCUUACAGGACCACCUAUGAAUAUAAUCUUCCUCACCCCGAAAUUCAAAUUGACUAAAUAUAUAAAUUUGGGUAUCUAUAAAGAAAUCACAAAAGGAAGAAAAGGUCGGGAAAACAAACAGUUGGUGGGAAGUUGCUACGAACCUCAAAUUUACAGCAGCCAGACAAAGUCAGAGCUUUGUCGCCAUUUUU
rnacentral:lncRNA from 1 species